rnacentral:rRNA from 1 species
GCCUACGGGAGGCAGCAGUGGGGAAUUUUGCGCAAUGGGGGAAACCCUGACGCAGCAACGCCGCGUGAGUGAUGAAGGCUUUCGGGUCGUAAAGCUCUGUCAGAGGGGAAGAAAUGGGUCGUGCUAAUAUCACGACUUCUUGACGGUACCCUCAAAGGAAGCACCGGCUAACUCCGUGCCAGCAGCCGCGGUC